rnacentral:rRNA from 1 species
GACGAACGCUGGCGGCGUGCUUAACACAUGCAAGUCGAACGGAAAGGCCCUGCUUUUGUGUUGUGCUCGAGUGUCGAACGGGUGAGUAACACGUGAGUAACCUGCCCUUGACUUUGGGAUAACUUCAGGAAACUGGGGCUAAUACCGGAUAGGAGCUCCUGCUGCAUGGUGGGGGUUGGAAAGUUUCGGCGGUUGGGGUUGUACUCGCGGCUUAUCAGCUUGUUGGUGGGGUAGUGGCUUACCAAGGCUUUGACGGGUAGCCGGCCUGAGAGGGUGACCGGCCACAGUGGGACUGAGAUACGGCCCAGACUCCUACGGGAGGCAGCAGUGGGGGAUAUUGCACAAUGGGCGGAAGCCUGAUGCAGCAACGCCGCGUGCGGGAUGACGGCAUUCGGGUUGUAAACCGCUUUCGCCUGUGACGAAGCGUGAGUGACGGUAAUGGGUAAAGAAGCACCGGCUAACUACGUG